AUUGAACGCUGGCGGCAGGCCUAACACAUGCAAGUCGAGCGGAUGAAGGGAGCUUGCUCCUGGCUUCAGCGGCGGACGGGUGAGUAAUGCCUAGGAAUCUGCCUGGUAGUGGGGGAUAACGUCCGGAAACGGGCGCUAAUACCGCAUACGUCCUGAGGGAGAACGUGGGGGAUCUUCGGACCUCACGCUAUCAGAUGAGCCUAGGUCGGAUUAGCUAGUUGGUGGGGUAAAGGCCUACCAAGGCGACGAUCCGUAACUGGUCUGAGAGGAUGAUCAGUCACACUGGAACUGAGACACGGUCCAGACUCCUACGGGAGGCAGCAGUGGGGAAUAUUGGACAAUGGGCGAAAGCCUGAUCCAGCCAUGCCGCGUGUGUGAAGAAGGUCUUCGGAUUGUAAAGCACUUUAAGUUGGGAGGAAGGGCAGUAAGUUAAUACCUGGCUGUUUUGACGUUACCAACAGAAUAAGCACCGGCUAACUUCGUG
rnacentral:rRNA from 1 species